rnacentral:rRNA from 2 species
UUUAAAGAGAGUUUGAUCCUGGCUCAGGACGAACGCUGGCGGCGUGCCUAAUACAUGCAAGUCGAACGAACGGAGGAAGAGCUUGCUCUUCCAAAGUUAGUGGCGGACGGGUGAGUAACACGUGGGCAACCUGCCUGUAAGUUGGGGAUAACUCCGGGAAACCGGGGCUAAUACCGAAUGAUAAAGU